rnacentral:snoRNA from 1 species
GUCCAAAAUACAGUGAUGUUACCUCUUCCAAGCACAUAUCUGACUGCUCUGUGUGGAAAAUGACUGUUCCUGAGUGAUUUUGGAU